rnacentral:SRP_RNA from 1 species
GCCGGGCGCGGUGGCGCACGCCUGUAGUCCCAGCUACUCGGGAGGCUGAGGCAGGAGGAUCGCUUGAGUCCAGGAGUUCUGGGCUGUAGUGCGCUAUGCCGAUCGGGUGUCCGCACUAAGUUCGGCAUCAAUAUGGUGACCUCCCGGGAGCGGGGGACCACCAGGUUGCCUAAGGAGGGGUGAACCGGCCCAGGUCGGAAACGGAGCAGGUCAAAACUCCCGUGCUGAUCAGUAGUGGGAUCGCGCCUGUGAAUAGCCACUGCACUCCAGCCUGGGCAACAUAGCGAGACCCCGUCUCUU